rnacentral:tRNA from 1 species
GAGGGUAUAUCUCAGUGGUAGAGUAGAGUGUACGCCUAGCAUGCCCAAGGUCCUGGGUUCAAUCCCCAGUACCUCCA